rnacentral:rRNA from 1 species
AGUGAACGCUGGCGGUAGGCCUAACACAUGCAAGUCGAACGGCAGCACAGUAAGAGCUUGCUCUUACGGGUGGCGAGUGGCGGACGGGUGCGGAAUACAUCGGAAUCUACUUUUUCGUGGGGGAUAACGUAGGGAAACGUACGCUAAUACCGCAUACGACCUACGGGUGAAAGCAGGGGCUCUUCGGACCUUGCGCGAUUGAAUGAGCCGAUGUCGGAUUAGCUAGUUGGCGGGGUAAAGGCCCACCAAGGCGACGAUCCGUAGCUGGUCUGAGAGGAUGAUCAGCCACACUGGAACUGAGACACGGUCCAGACUCCUACGGGAGGCAGCAGUGGGGAAUAUUGGACAAUGGGCGCAAGCCUGAUCCAGCCAUACCGCGUGGGUGAAGAAGGCCUUCGGGUUGUAAAGCCCUUUUGUUGGGAAAGAAAAGCAGCAGGUUAAUACCCCGCUGUUCUGACGGUACCCAAAGAAUAAGCACCGGCUAACUUCGUG